GAGCCUUCAUGUAGUUGUUGGGAAUUGAAUUUUUAGGACCCCUGGCCACUCCAGUUGGCCCCACUCGCUCCGGUCAACUCCACUCACUCAGUCAGUCCCUGCUUGCUUCUGACCAAAGAUUUAUUUAUUAUUAUACAUAAGUACACUGUAGCUGAUGUCAGAUCUCAUUACAGGUGGUUGUGAGCCACCAUGUGGUUGCUGGGAUUUGAACUCAGGACCUUCAGAAGAGCAGUCAGUGCUCUUACCCGCUGAGCCAUCUCACCAGCCCAAAGCCUGUAAUUCUAUCUCUUUUGAGCAGUGGGGCAGGGAGAUCUUGAAAGCUCAAAGCUAGCCUGGUCAUAACGGAGACCUUCUCUCAAAAAGAAAAACAAAACCAAAUACAACCAUAUCUUUAUUCCUAGCACUUGGGAGAGGCAGGCAGAUGUGUGAGCUUGAGGCUAGCCUGGUCUACAUAUCGAGAACCUGUCUUAAACAAACAAACAAACAAACAAACAAACCCAAGUGGGGAGGAGCACUGUAAAAUCUUCUGGCUAGGUCUGCUGUGGCUGUUACAGUAGUGAGCGCACGGCAGCUGUACAUGAUUUGUACACACACACACACACACACACACACACCACCACCACCAUUACACCAAACAGAAACCAGCGGACCCAAAAAAUACGCGCGUGCAGAGGCAUAUGAGUGCAGUGGGGCAAGGGGAAGGGAAAUCAGAAAUGAGAGAAGGUAAUGGGGGUGGGGAUAUGAUCUCAAUGCAUUAUGUAGCAGGGGAAAAAACCUGUCAGAAACAGAAGAAAAGAAAAUGAGAACUAACCAUGUGAGUGGGGGCGGGGACCCAAAACAACACAAACCAGCAUUGUGCCUGGCAGGUCACGGAGGCAGGGGUGCUAGGAGCAACUCCUGUCCUGUCCCUCACCGUGUUUCAUCUCCAGCAGUCUUCCAGAGGCUACAUUUGCACUGGCCUGGUGGGUCAAAAGCCUACCUAGGCUAGGAUCUGGGUUCUAGUGUCAGAGCUGCAGGGGGUAUCUUCUGUCAGGGCAUCAGCAAGUGACAGCAUGUUUCCUGUGAGGACUGAGUGAGGAAAGCGGGGAGGGGCUGCGUGAGGAGGGAAUUGGGAGGAGAUGGGGGGGGGGGUGAGAUUGGGAUGUAAAGUGAAUAAUUAAUGGG
rnacentral:lncRNA from 1 species